GACGAACGCUGGCGGCGUGCUUAACACAUGCAAGUCGAACGGAAAGGCCCUGAUCUUGUGGGGUGCUCGAGUGGCGAGCGGGUGAGUAAAACGUGAGUAAACUGCCCCUGACUUUGGGAUAACUUCAGGAAACUGGGGCUCUUACAGGAUAGGAGAUCCUGCUGCAUGGUGGGGGUUGGAAAGUUUCGGCGGUUGGGGCUGGACUCGCGGCUUAUCCGCUUGUUGGUGGGGUAGUGGCUUACAAAGGUUUUGACGGGUAGCCGGCCUGAGAGGGGGACCGGCCACAUGGGGACUGAGAGACGGCCCAGUCGCCUACGGGAGGCAGCAGUGGGGAAUAUUGCACAAUGGGCGGAAGCCAGAUGCAGCAACGCCGCGUGCGGGAUGACGUCCUUCGGGUUGUAAACCGCUUUCGCCUGUGACGAAGCGUGAGUGACGGUAAUGGGUAAAGAAGCACCGGCUAACUACGUG
rnacentral:rRNA from 1 species